CCACCAUUAAUUACACCUCCAAGUGCGCCUCUGAGAACAAGAUGGCAUCUUUGAUGUGAACAGCUUUACCCAAGAUCAUGGAACAAGACUUCUCUACUAUCAUGAGACUUUGAAUAUUUUUUUUCCUUGCUUAUGCAUCUAUAAACAAUCGAACUGGAAAAGGGGUCUACUAUGUGCAUUUAUCAGGGUCUCACUGUGUUGCACAAGUUGGUCUCUUAACUCCUGGGCUCAAGAGAUCCUCCUGCCUCAGCCUCCCAAGGUGCUGGGAUUACAGACAUAG
rnacentral:lncRNA from 13 species